rnacentral:misc_RNA from 1 species
UCUGCCUUAUCGGCAAGCGGUCCCACUAGAGUGCCCAACUUAAUGCUGGCAACUAAUGGCGAGGGUUGCGCUCGUUGCGGGACUUAACCCAACAUCUCACGACACGAGCUGACGACAGCCAUGCAGCACCUGUAUCCACGUCUCCGAAGAGAACUCCUACUUUCAUAGGAUAGCGUGGUAUGUCAAGCCUAGGUAAGGUUUUUCGCGUUGCGUCGAAUUAAACCACAUACUCCACCGCUUGUGCGGGCCCCCGUCAAUUUCUUUGAGUUUUAAUCUUGCGACCGUACUCCCCAGGCGGGAUACUUAACGCGUUAGCUACGACACCGAGAGGGUAAGUCUCCCGACAUCCAGUAUCCAUCGUUUACAGCGUGGACUAC